rnacentral:rRNA from 1 species
CUUCAUGAAGCUGGAAUUGCUAGUAAUGGCAGGUCAGCAUACUGCCGUGAAUACGUUCCCGGGCCUUGUACACACCGCCCGUCACACCAUGAGAGUUGGGAAUACCCGAAGCCUGUGAGCUAACUUAUAGAGGCAGCAGUCGAAGGUAGAAUCAAUGAUUGGGGUGAAGUCGUAACAAGGUACC